GGAAUUCGGCUGCCGACUGUAAGUCAUCAAUAAAUUCCUUUACUAUUUAGAGAUUAUCCAUAAGUUCUGUGACUCUAGAGAACCCUGACUAAUACACCAGGCAUGGACACCAGUGGAGCAAUGGGAACACUAACCUACUCACAAAACUUUCAACCCAAAAUUUAUCCUGUCUACAAGAAAUGUAAGGAUGGUGAUGGAGCAGAGACUGAGGGAAUGGCCAAGCAAUAACUGGCCAACUUGAGGCCCAUCCCAUGGGCAAGCACUAAUCCCUGACACUAUUAAUGAUACUCUGUUAUGCUUGCAGACAGGAGCCAAGCAUAACUGUCCUCUGAAAGGUUCCACCCAGCAACUGACUGAAACAGAUGUUGAGGCUCACAGAUUAACAUUGGAUGGAGCUUGGGGACUCUUAUGGAGGGCUUGGGGGAAGAAUUGAGGGCCCUGAAGGGAAAGAGAACUCCACAGGAAGACUAACAACAGAAUCAAUUAACCUGGACCCUUGGGGGCUCUCAGAGACUGACCAGCAAACAAAGAACAUACACAGGCUGGACCAAAUCCCCCACAUGUGUGGGAGAUUUGGUCUUCAUGUGGGUCCCCCAACAGCUGGAGCGAGACUGUCCCUAGAGAUGUUGCCUAUCUGUAGACUACAUCCCCCUAGCUGGGCUGCCUUGUCUAGCCUCAGUUGGAGAGGAUGCACCUGGCCCUUUGGUGGCUGGCUGGUCAGUUCACAACUAGUGAACUAGCUAGUGAGGUGCUAGUGGUGGGGGGUGCACACCCAGACCCUGGAGAGCUUUGUUUAAGUGUACUUGUUGAUUUUUCAUUCUAAAGCUGUUAUCUCUUCCAUACUCCUUCACAUUUGCUCUUCCUGUGUCUGCUCCAUCUUUAUAAAGGACACUACCUCUUGAUGACUCUGGUUGUCAUCCUUAUAUGGCCUUUGCUUUCACCCUGCCAUCCUCCAUCAAUCAUAGCCAACUGAAUGAUAUGUUCUUGACUGCCUUCAGAAUGCAGCUUCAGAAUCCCGCCACGUCUUAGCCUCUUGCACUAUGAACAUUUUGGCCGACAUCAGCAAUUCCUGGAGCCAGGUACAUUUCUGGAUGGCACUCACAACUCCAUUCUUGCCCUAUUGUACCCUUUAAUAUUUUAACUGUACCAUAUUAUCCACUGAUAUUUUUAAAUCCUGUGAUGGCUUUUCAUAUUCAAGAUGAACUGCCAGCCCUUUGCCACAGCCUUCGCACCCUGCACAAGCCAGUCCCCCUCUGUUCCUUUUGGCCUUGCUGUUUCUUCAUCCUCCUGUCCUGUCUCUUCGUGCACUCGAUCUGCUCAUUGCCACCCUCCUGUAGCCUCUACUCAGCUCUCUAGGAUCCUGGUUUCUCACUUUCAAACUCUUAAAUUCUGCGGAGUUCAGAGCAACACUCAAAGGGAAGAAUGCAACCAUAUCUGUUUAUCAAUUGACAAUUCAUAGAAACAGAUGAGCUUGGGGAUUGGUAGACACUGUUCUUAUUUACAAUGGGGAAACUAUUUCUGGGAGCAUACUUGCAAAGUUGUCCCUCCUCUAAUGAGAGAAUCCACAUAUUCAAUAUUUUAGAGAUGUUUAUAGACAAAACUGAGAAAUUUCCCCUGGCUCUCUUACUCCCUGUGCCUACUCAGCAAACAUGGCUGUUGUGGCACUAACAUGCACCAAAGACUAGAGAAUGGCCCCUUAGCUCUUAUUGCCCAGUCCCAGGUGAACUUUUCAGUUAUUUAGGGCUCCCUGAGCUUCACCUUAUCUUUUCUCAGACCCACUCUGCUCAGCAGGAACCCUUAGAUGUCUGAGCAAGUCAGUUUGCUGGGGCAAAAUACCUGAUAGAAAGUAGGGAGAAGGACUGGCAAGAUGGCUCAGUGGUUAAGACCACCGACUGCUCUUCCAAAGGUCCCGAGUUCAAAUCUCAGCAACCACAUGGUGG
rnacentral:lncRNA from 1 species